rnacentral:lncRNA from 1 species
CCUAACAGGUUUGGUCCAAGUGCACAAUCUUUUUUCUUUUUUUUUUUGUUUUGGCUUCGUGGAUGCAGGAAGACUUUGGCGGUGUGGUGAUGAGGGUGCCAUUGACGAUCCUUGAGGACAAUUUAAUGGGGGUGGGGUUGUGAUGCUUUUGGGGGCCAAACUGAGGAGUGUCAAGGCUGCUUUUUAGGUUGGCUGCGUUUGUUUGGUAUUGCUUCGGAGGUCGUCUUCGUGGCGGCUGGUGGCUUUGCUUCUUUAGGAGCUGUGGGGUUUCCCUUUAUUGGUGGCUGAACUGUUGAGCCGGUUGCUGUUGUGAUAGACAAAGCUUUGUAGUGUGGAGCUGGUUUUGUUUUGAAGACUUCCUUUGCUUCUGGUGGUGGUCUCUUGGGAAGGUUAACGAGGAGUCUAGGAUGUGGGCCUGCGAAAGGAUGCUGCUGCUGACGGGCUGCUCAGUUGACUCAGGUUGCUUUUGUGAGAUUUUAAGGUGCUUCAUGCUGUUUGGUUCCGAUAGGUAGUAGUUUUAGGUGACUUUGCCUUGAAAAAUUAAUGGCCGAAUGUUUUGUUUAGGCUGUCAUGGCCUUGUUCA